GCAUUGUUGGUUCAGUGGUAGAAUGCUCGCUUGCGAAGCGGGCGGCCUGGGUUCGAUUAUCGGCGAAUGCA
rfam:Angiostrongylus cantonensis strain Taiwan genome assembly, scaffold: ACAC_scaffold0001023